AAAAACGUGAGAGAGAUUCAGAGAGGUUAUUGUUUUGUUCGUUUGUGAGGUAGUUAGGGAGUGAGGAGAGAGUGGAGUGUGGUGAGUUUUUUUAUGAGUGGACAGAGAGUGACGCGUGUGAGAGGAUAAGAAGAAAGAUUUUUUUUCAAUUUUGUUUUCUUUUUUCAGAGAGAUAAUGGGAAGAGAGAUUUUUGAGGGAGUGUGAGAUAUUUGUGAGAUAACAGCUGGCAGACCGUUGGGAGAGUUUUUUUUAUUUAUUCUUUUUUUGUUUUUUAUGUAAGGAGGGAAUCCAAUGCAAAUAUAUACAUAUUUAUUUUAAUACAUU
rnacentral:lncRNA from 1 species